rnacentral:rRNA from 1 species
AUACGUAGGGGGCGAGCGUUGUCCGGAAUGAUUGGGCGUAAAGGGCGCGUAGGCGGCCCGGUAAGUCUGGAGUGAAAGUCCUGUUUUUAAGAUGGGAAUUGCUUUGAAUACUGUCGGGCUUGAGUGCAGGAGAGGUAAGUGGAAUUCCCAGUGUAGCGGUGAAAUGCGUAGAGAUUGGGAGGAACACCAGUGGCGAAGGCGACUUACUGGACUGUAACUGACGCUGAGGCGCGAAAGUGUGGGGAGCAAACAGGAUUAGAUACCCUGGUAGUCCACACUGUAAACGAUGAAUGCUAGGUGUAGGGGGUAUCGACCCCUUCUGUGCCGCAGUCAACACAAUAAGCAUUCCGCCUGGGGAGUACGGCCGCAAGGUUGAAACUCAAAUGAAUUGACGGGG